GGCAGAGCCCCCGGAGUCAUGGCCAGCCCUUCCGGCAGCUCCGAAGCCACUGGCAAGCCCUGAGGUAGGGAUGGCUGGCCCAGGAGGGAGGAGGACGACGUCCCUCCCGAAGAGAAGAGGCUGCGGCUGUUGCUGGAGGGGGGAAGCGCACAGCCCGAGGACUGCGAGGACGGGGAGGACGCGCCGCGGCCGGGCAGGGAGGAGACCGGCACCCAGACAGGUGGCGACGGCAAAGGAGCGGAAUUCUCCACGAGUUUUGAGCAGCCUCGGUUUUCCCACCCCCUCCAAAUCAUGGAAGAAACAGGGUAAGAGCAAAGACAAGGUGGCUGUGGCCUAUGUCUACCCUCUCGGGGCGUCCCUUGUCUUCUCUCCUCCUUGGGCAGGGAGACCAUCGGAGUGCAACCUGGCUGGGGCGGGGAGGAGGUGCAGGGCCUGGCCAGAGCGGGCCUGGCCACGGGCAAGGGACAGCGACCUCCUGGGCCAGGACAGGUGAGCGCGGCGCAGGCCCGGGCCCGGCGUGUCCGCGCUGCGCGGGAGAGGCCAGCAGAGGGCGCCAGAGAGCCAGGAGCGGCCCGCGGAGGAGCCCGCGCCCGCCCCGAUGCCCAGCUCCGCGCCUCGCGGACCCAGCAAGCUCGCGCUCAGACGCCCCAGCUCCGCCGAGAGGACGCUCGCCCCGGGUGCUUCUUUUUCCCCAAGUGCAGGCAGAGCCCCUGGAGCCAUGGCCAGCCCUUCCGGCAGCUCCGAAGCCACUGGCAAGCCCCGAGGCAGGGAUGGCCGGCCCAGGAGGGAGGAGGACGACGUCCCUCCUGAAGAGAAGAGGCUGCGGCUGUUGCUGGAGGGGGGAAGAGCACAGCCCGAGGACUGCGAGGACGGGGAGGACGCGCUGCGGCCGGGCAAGGAGGACACCGGCACCCAGACAGGUGGCGACGGCAGAGGAGCGGAAUUCUCCACGAGUUUUGAGCAGCCUCGGGUUUCCCACCACCUCCAAAUCAUGGAAGACACACGGUGCAGGCAGAGCCCCCCAGCCGUGGCCAGCCCUUCCGGCAGCUCCGAAGCCACUGGCAAGCCCCGAGGCAGGGAUGGCCGGCCCAGGAGGGAGGAGGACGACGUCCCUCCCGAAGAGAAGAGGCUGCGGCUGUAGCUGGAGGGGGGAAGCGCAGAACCCGAGGACUGCGAGGACGGGGAGGACGCGCCGCGGCCAGGCAGGGAGGAGACCGGCACCCAGACAGGUGGCGAAGGCAGAGGAGUGGUCAUUUUUCUUCUUGUGGCCUCUGGAAUGUGACACAGAACUCAAGGGACAGGAAGGAGAUGAGUUGGAGGCUGGGACAGGGGUCCCUGCCAGGGAUGCUGGUGACUCACGUGACGGUGUUGAUGUGUGGAGUCCGGUGCCUGGUUUGGGGAAUGUUCGUGGGAUAUGUUCCAAAGGACUGACAGACCUAUCAGGUGCAGUGGUUCACACCUGUAAUCCCAGCACUUUGGGAGGCCGAGGCUGGCGGAUCACCUAAGGUCAGGAGUUCGAGACCAGCCUGGUCAACAUGGCAAAACUGUCUCUACUAAAAAUACAGAAAUUAGCCAGGUGUGAUGGCACACACCUGCAAUCCCAGCUACUUGGGAGGCUGAGGCAGGAGAAUCGUUUGCACCUGGGAGACAGAGGUUGCAGUCAGCCGAGAUUGAACCACUGUACUUCAGCCAGCCUGGGUGACAGAGCGAGACUCUGUUUCAAAAAUAAAUAAAUAAAUAAAAUAGAAUUCUGAAUUUUAUUUUUAAUAA
ensembl:lncRNA novel transcript